rnacentral:rRNA from 1 species
UCAAGAAACUUCCACAAUGGGCGAAAGCCUGAUGGAGCGACGUCGCGUGAUGGACGAAGUGCUUCGGCACGUAAACAUCUUUUAUGUGGGAUGAAAUUAUUGACAGUACCACAUGAAUAAGGGGCUCCUAACUCUGUGCCAGCAGGAGCGGUAAUACAGAGGCCCCAAGCGUUAUCCGGAAUCACUGGGCGUAAAGGGUGUCGAGGCGGUUGUAUUAGUCGUUCGUAAAAUCUACGAGCUUAACUUGUAGGCGGCGAACGAAACGGUACGACUUGAGGUUUGGAGAGGUGCGUGGAACUCACGGUGUAGGGGUGAAAUCCGUUGAUAUCGUGGGGAACACCAAAGGCGAAGGCAGCGCACUGGCCAAAAUCUGACGCUCACACACGAAAGCUAGGGUAGCGAAGAGGAUUAGAUACCCUGGUAGUCCCUGAGCGGGCUGGCAAGGCG